AAAUUAAUAUGUAAUUUGUAUAUAGGAUGUGGUCACUUAUGUGCUAGUGGCAAUAAUUCCAUUUGCUUGUACAAUGACCUAAACAACCCUGCCUGUUUCUGUGAACUCGGCCUGACGUAUACGGGGAGUUAUUGCAAAAAAGACAGGUCUUCGACUACGCAAAACGUGCAGUUUGUUGAGCCUACCCCAGGUCCUGGAUCAACAAUUUUCUGUCAGUUCAACUUCCAUUCUUGUUCAUUUUCGGCUUACGUUUACUCAUUAUCACUUCCACGAAUUUCUGUUCAUGAUGUAAAAGACAAAACUGUUAAAACAGCAAUUGGUGAUAAAAGAGAAACUAAACGGACAAAUAUUUACAGAGUGAUUGUUAAAAUUUCAAAUCCUUUCAAUGUCUUAGAGAGUAUACCUUGCCUUAACUUAGAAAACCAAUACAAUAUCAGUGACGUCAACACCCGAUGUUUUCACGUUGUUUGGAACUCUUCAA